AUAUUGGACAAUGGGGGCAACCGUGAUCCACCCAUCCCGCGUGUGUGAAGAAGGCAUUCGGAUUGUAAAGCACUUUAUGUUGGAAGGAAGGGCUUUAGGUAAAUACCACGAACAUUGCACAUUCCCAACAGAAUAAGCACCGUCAAAACUCGUGCCAGCAGCCGCGGUAAUACAGAGGGUGCAAGCAUUAAUCGGAAUUACUGGGCGUAAAGCGCGCGUAGGUGGUUCAGUAAGAUGGGUGUGAAAUCCCCGGGCUUAACCUGGGAACUGCUUUCAUAACUGCUGAGCUAGAGUACGGUAGAGGGUAGUGGAAUUUCCUGUGUAGCGGUGAAAUGCGUAGAUAUAGGAAGGAACACCAGUGGCGAAGGCGACUACCUGGACUGAUACUGACACUGAGGUGCGAAAGCGUGGGGAGCAAAC
rnacentral:rRNA from 1 species